GUAUAACAAGGAAGCACUACUUUACU
rnacentral:sRNA from 1 species